CCUACGGGAGGCAGCAGUGGGGAAUAUUGGACAAUGGGGGGAACCCUGAUCCAGCCAUGCCGCGUGUGUGAAGAAGGCCCUCGGGUUGUAAAGCACUUUCAGUGAGGAAGAACGCCUGGUGGUUAAUACCCAUCAGGAAAGACAUCACUCACAGAAGAAGCACCGGCUAACUCCGUGCCAGCAGCCGCGGUAAUACGGAGGGUGCGAGCGUUAAUCGGAAUUACUGGGCGUAAAGCGCGCGUAGGUGGCUUGAUAAGCCGGUUGUGAAAGCCCCGGGCUCAACCUGGGAUCGGCAUCCGGAACUGUCAAGCUAGAGUGCAGGAGAGGAAGGUAGAAUUCCCGGUGUAGCGGUGAAAUGCGUAGAGAUCGGGAGGAAUACCAGUGGCGAAGGCGGCCUUCUGGACUGACACUGACACUGAGGUGCGAAAGCGUGGGUAGCAAACAGGAUUAGAUACCCCAGUAGUC
rnacentral:rRNA from 1 species